UCGCGGGUUGUCAAAAAUAAAGCUCCCAUUUUUGUUGCCAUGGUGAAAACUAUUGUACUGUAUACCAGUUCUCUGUUUGUCUCUGUUAGACUCUGCUGUACGGACAUCUUAUUACAAAUACUUUCACCCUAAGGAAGCAUUGAUAUCCAAUGGUGUUUUGAACCGAGCAUUCAGCAUAGCAGCAGGAAAGACAUUACCCAACAUGUCCGAAGAGGACUCAUCUGCACAUGCUCAAGCACUGACCUAUUUGUAUCCAUACGGAGCAACUCUUAAUGUAGACAAAUCAGCAAUAGCAGUCCUCUCUACCGGAAGUGUUUGUUUUCCUCUCAACAGACCAACCUGUGCAUUACACUCAUCAAAGUAUUCUAAAGGUAAAGUUGCAGUGCUUGGGUCAGUGCACAUGUUUCAAGAUCA